UACGGAAGGGGCAAGCGUUGUUCGGAAUCAUUGGGCGUAAAGGGCGCGUAGGUGGUUUUGUAUGUCUACCGUGAAAGCGUACGGCUCAACCGUAUUUUGUCGGUGGAAACUGCAGGACUUGAGGCUGGGAGGGGCUGGUGGAAUUCCUGGUGUAGCGGUGAAAUGCGCAGAUAUCAGGAAGAACACCGAUGGCGAAGGCAGCUCUCUGGGACGGUACUGACGCUGAGACGCGAAAGCGUGGGGAGCGAACAGG
rnacentral:rRNA from 1 species